UGGAUCACCUCCUAACAGGGAGACAACAAAAUGUUUAAUAUUAUUAUUUUGUCACCUUAGGUCGAUCGGUAUCUCACGUUCUUAAUUUAUUAAGAAUUUCAUUUCCUAAGUUUUUCUAGAUCACACCCAUUAUUUUUCCUGGGCCAUUAGCUCAGGUGGUUAGAGCGCACCCCUGAUAAGGGUGAGGUCCCUGGUUCAAGUCCAGGAUGGCCCAUAUCUCUAUGUUGGGGGUAUAGCUCAGUUGGUAGAGCGCCUGCUUUGCAAGCAGGAUGUCAGCGGUUCGAGUCCGCUUACCUCCGCUGAUUACCGCCUCUACCAUAAUUUGUAGAAAGGAAAAUUUUUGAGUUGUGAUCAAAUUCUGAACGAAUCUAGCUUCCUAAUGAAAUCAUUAAGAUGCUGGACUCAUUGAAUUAAUUUCAUUGUUUUCAGAGAACCUUGACAACUGCAUAGAUUAUUUUUAAAGACAAUAAGCAUCUUUAAUGAUGCAGAUUUAUUAUUUGUGCGAAUGCAUUAAUAACAAUUCUAUUAAGCUGAUGCUUCAAUUUUGAAGUUAUUGGUCAAGCUACAAAGGGCUCACGGAGGAUACCUAGGCACACAGAGGCGAUGAAGG
rnacentral:tRNA from 1 species